AUGUCUGAAACCGGGACAAAUGGGUCGUUUUCUAAAAGUGUCUGCAUUAAGGCAAAUGACCACACGGACUGAUCUCGACUACAUCAAGCCGAACUACACCGGGCCGAACCACGACAUUAAGCUGUACGACCAUAACAAACUACAAGUCAAGAUCAUCGCCGAGCACACUACGAGAAGCAAUAUCGACAUGCAUUGCCCACACACCAAGACGGUGUGGAACGGGAUGCAACCUUCAUCGACUUCUCGGGCGCGACACCACAUCGACACUUGGUUGCGGCGAGGGACGUCUUCAAGCGACACAUUAUCGUUGACACGCCGCUGCGACGCCAUCGCCUACACUUCAUCACUAAGGUCUUCAUCAACGUGGUCUUCACCAACAUCUUCGUCAACACACCGCCGCUGUCUUGUCCACAAGAUGGGCACCUAGCAUCCUCUGACAGACUUUUCUGCAAGACGCGACCAUGACGACGGCAAUGACCGCGUCACGAUGUCGGCAUCAACCGCGUCAUCCACGACAACACAACUGCAUCGACAGGGCGUCACUACAGUGACGACCGUACACGACCACACGGUUCUGGCAAAACCGAUAUGUGCUCGAUGGGCUUCCUCCGGUCUUCGCAAAAUCGGCGGACUCGUCGCCGACGGCACCCUCUGAUAUCUGCAAGGUGCAUCAUCCACGAUCCGCGUCGUCAGCAGCGUUCACGCCACUCCCGCUGUGACUGCGGGAGGGAAGAGGGGAGAGACAAGGAAGACACCAGAAGGGGACGCAGUCACCGCCCUACGUGCUGACCCAUCAGAAACGUAGUUGACGAUGGCGCAGCGAAGAAGACGACAAAAGCAGAAGACUUCAAAUUCAGUCGUACUCGUCCGCUUCACUCCCGCUACGACUUGAGGCGGAAUGUUAGAAUAUAAAUAUGCUUAGUUAGAGAUAAGGCGAGAGAUGGAGAUAGAAUAAGUUUUAAUAUACUAUGACUUGUCUUGUACUUCAAGUCACCACACGUUGUACUCUAUAUAUACCCCUACAAGGGUCAGAUCAAUAAUACAACACAAUAUCCAUUCAUCCUA